rnacentral:rRNA from 1 species
GACGAACCGUGCGAACGUUGUUCGGAAUCACUGGGCUUAAAGGGCGCGUAGGCGGCCUGCCAAGUCAGGGGUGAAAGCCCCCAGCUCAACUGGGGAAGUGCCUUUGAUACUGGCGGGCUCGAGCGAGGCAGGGGUCGUGGGAACUUCCGGUGGAGCGGUGAAAUGCGUUGAUAUCCAUAGGAACUCCGGUGGCGAAAGCGGUGUGCUGGAUCCUUUCUGACGCUGAGGCGCGAAAGCCAGGGGAGCAAACGGG